rnacentral:lncRNA from 1 species
GGCGCUAAACCACACAAAUUUGGUUCUUAUUCCCAAAAUUCAAGAACCUCUAUCGAUCUCCGAGUACCGACCCAUCAGUUUAUGCAACUUCUCUUACAAAAUUUUCUCAAAAGUGUUGGCUAAUAGAAAUAAGCCCCUACUUCCAAUGAUCAUAUCUCAAGCCCAAAGUGCCUUCGUUGCCGAACGACAAAUUCAUGAUAAUAUCUUAAUAGCCUAUGAAGUCUUCCACUUCCUCAAGCUUAGAAAGGCCAAAAAAUCUUUUGAAAUGGGAAUAAAACUUGACAUGAACAAAGCCUACGACAGGGUGGAAUGGAAUUUCUUGAGGGAGGUUAUGCUGAAAAUGGGUUUCCAUAGUCGCUGGGUUCAUCUAAUCAUGAGAUUUAUCACUACCGUAACCUUCUCGGUGGUACUUAAUGGCCAACUUGGAAAGAAGUUUAUGCUAUCAAGAGGAAUCCGUCAAGGAGACCCCUUCUCCCCAUACCGCUUUUUAU